AUGAAAAUUGCAACUAAGGAUAAAUUUUUGUACAUAACUGUUUUAUUUGGUGAUCUAAGAAUAGCUGCAUUAGUUGAUACAGGGAGCUCUAUCAAUGUCAUUUCUAAAUCUUUGUAUGAUUCGAUAUCCGAUCGUCAUAAACUUUAUUUUGAACAACUAAGUGAAUCGGAAAUUCGAUUAGCCAACAACGAUAAAAUCAGAAUUAACGGAAUAUCCAAACUUCAAGCCACAAUUCAUCAGAAAAAUGAAAUUAUUGAAACAUAUAUCAUUCCCAAAACAUCUCAUCCUUUGAUUCUCGGUACUGAAUAUUUACGAGAAAAUAAAAUUGUUUUAGAUUUUAGUGAUUUUAGUUGUAAUCAGAAGACUGUGCCGGUUAAAACAGGUAAGAGGAUAGAACUUGAACCGAAUACAGAAUACUUAACUUUUGGGAAGUUACCAAAUUACGUUACAGUCGGAUUGCAAGGGAUAUGCGUAAACAGCAAAUUUUCAGUUAACCACAAGUUUUUAGUUGCCAAAUCUUUAGUUGUCGUUCCUGUCAAUCGCAAAGUUCCGAUUAAAUUAUUGAAUGCUAGUAAUGUGAAAAUAACGAUUCCAAAAGGCAAAAAUAUUGCUGAAUUUUCAACAUUAUCGAAUGAGUACACCUAUGUUGCAAUGUCUGAAAAAUCCGAGAUACCCGAAGUGCAGAAUAUUCAGUUGGUUGCUAAUGAAAAUGGACUGCGGACCGAUAAUUCCGAACAGCAAUGUGACAUUACAGACAGUCCCGACAGGCAAGAAAUUUUGACCAAGAUUCAAGACAGAUUUUGAUUUAUCCGAUCAUUUAACACACGAUCAAAAAUCGGAAUUAGCUGAAUGUUUGUUUGAUAAUCUUGAUUUAUUUGUGACGAAAGAAAAUCCAAACCUUGGAUAUACACAUUUAGUGGAGCAUAAAAUACAUCUGAAGCCGAAUGCUGUUGGUAAACAUCAUAAGCCGUACAGGUUACCCCCUUACAAACGUGAGGUUUUGCGUGAGCAACUGGAUAACUUGCUUGAACAAGGAAUAGUUGUGCCAGUUAGUGAACAAGAGGAGCUACCCAUUACAAGUCCGAUAGUAUUAGUCACAAAGCGAAAUGAAGCGUCGAAUAGUAAGACUUCAACUCAAAGUUAUAGGUUUGUUUGUGAUUUUAGACAUUUAAACGCGCAAACAGAAGAUUUUAAAUAUGUUAUACCAAACUUACAGGAACUGACGGAAUCCUUUGCUGAAAUAGUACCAAAUUAUAUAACUUCGAUAGAUUUAUCUUCCGGAUUUUUUCAGAUGGGCAUAUCCGCCGAAUCGUCAAGAUAUACCGCUUUCAACACAUGUUUUGGAACGUACAAGUUUUUAAGGCUGCCAAUGGGGUUAAAGACGGCACCUAACACAUUUCAGCUUCUAAUGGACAAGGUACUGCGUGGUCUAAAAUUCAGAACUUGUUUGUGCUAUUUAGAUGACGUAUUGAUCUGCUCUGAAACCUUUGAAAAGCAUUUAGACGAUAUAAAAGAAAUCUUUAAACGAUUUCGAGAUGCAGGACUAAAACUUGGACAGAAAAAAAUGCCAUUUUGCAAGUGAGACGUGUAUUUUUCUUGGACACGAGAUUUCUAAACAUGGGAUAAGACCCCCAAAAGAUCGAGUGAAGGCUAUUGUCGACUUUCCAGCACCACAGAAUAUAAAACAACUUCGUCGCACAAUUGGAUUAUUUAACUGGUUUAAAAAGUUUAUACCAAAUUUCAGUGCUAUAAUUAGUCCACUCACUAAACUUCUGAAGAAAAAUCAAAAAUUUGAAUGGAAAAUUGAACAAUCUACAGCAUUUCAAAAUCUUAAAACUCAUCUUGUAAAUACCGAUAAUCUCAGUUUCCCCCGUUUCGAUUUACCGUUUAUAUUGGCUGUGGAUACUUCAUCAAAAGGAAUAGGGUACAUGCUUUAUCAGAAGGACCCAACAAAGGAAAAACCAAAUAUCAUUCGUUUCGGAUCAAAGUCUUUAUCACGAUGGCAGCAGUCGUAUGGUCCUACGAAAUUAGAGUUGUUGGGAAUGGUCACUAGUAUUCUUGACUGUGCGGACUAUUUAAGGGGUACACAAUUUAUCGUGGAGUGCGACCACCAAGCACUCCAACCAUUGUUUAUGAAGCAAUUCAAAGGAGCUAUUUAUGAGCGUUGGCUUGCCAUUCUCCAGCAAUUUACAUUUGAAAUUCAAUAUAAGCCUGCAGAACAAAUGAAAGUCGCUGAUGCGCUCUCAAGAUGUGAAAAUCCCCAAAACAUUCCGAUCGAAAGCCCUGCAGAAGAUGAUCCGUUUUUCCCCUUGGUAACAGAAAAUACAGGAGAAAUACGUUUACCCGGUGGAGUGAAAUUUGUUGAUUUAUUUGAAUCGAAUGAUAAUACCGACGUUGUUGUACAGGCUAUAGACAUAGUAGCUGACAAGCACAUCGAUUUAUACAGUGUAGAAACUGACGAGCAUGACUCGCUAAAUGAUCCAUAUGAUGCCGAUACGGACGAGUCAGACUCUUAUGUACAUAAUCGCAAAAAGAAAUUUGGCAGAAAUAAUCAGAACGUUGAACAACUUGCUAAUACUUUGCGCGAUUUUCAAGUUGGUGCAAAUACCUCUAACAUCAAAAAGUUACAACGGAAAGAUAGCGAUUUAAAGAAAAUCAUUGCAUAUUUAGAAGAUGAUGUUUUGCCAGAUUCACAAAAAGAAUCUCGCCGUAUUUUAUUGGAGUCGUGUGAUUUCAUUUUAGUUGACGAUGUGUUAUAUCACCGUAGAAAGGCAAAAUCAGAAAGGACAAAAGACAUGAGUGAAUUUCAACUUGUUAUUCCUAAGCAAUUGAUUUCGCAAAUUUUAAAAAUUACUCAUGACUCCCCAUUAGGUGGACAUAGUGGAAUUCAGAAUACUUUAGACUCUGUUAGAGAGCGUUAUUAUUUUGCGCGAAUGGGUAAAAUAAUCAGUGAAUACGUGCAAUCUUGUCAUGAGUGCCAGUCACGUAAAGUUAGCAAUUUAAAAACGAAAGCAAAAAUAGUAGCAUAUCCUACUCCUAGUGAACCAUUUCAAGUAUGGCAAAUGGACAUUUUUGGACCACUUGUUUCAUCAAAUAAUGCCAAUACAUACGUUUUUACAGCAGUUGAUGCUUUCAGUAAUUUCUUGUUUGCUGUGCCAUUAAGAAAUAACGAUGCAAUAUCAGUUUCUCAGGCAAUUUUCAAUUUUUUCUGUAAUUUUGGUGUGUGUAGCACGGUUAUUUCAGACCAAGGAUCAGAAUUUAUUGCCAAAUGUACAAUGGAAGUUUGCAAAAUGUUGAAUGUAGAGCAAGAAUUUACACCUAGUAUGAUGCAUCACUGUUUGGGUCGCUGUGAACGUACACAUCGUACCUUAGCGGAGCGUUUAACGCCCUUAUGUUUUAGACAAUAA
rnacentral:sRNA from 1 species